GUGGAUUAGAUACCCUAGUAGUCCACGCCGUAAACGUUGGGAACUAGGUGUUGGCGACAUUCCACGUCGUCGGUGCCGCAGCUAACGCAUUAAGUUCCCCGCCUGGGGAGUACGGCCGCAAGGCUAAAACUCAAAGGAAUUGACGGGGGCCCGCACAAGCAGCGGAGCAUGUGGCUUAAUUCGACGCAACGCGAAGAACCUUACCAAGGCUUGACAUAUACCGGAAAGCAUCAGAGAUGGUGCCCCCCUUGUGGUCGGUAUACAGGUGGUGCACGGUCGUCGCCAGCU
rnacentral:rRNA from 1 species